rnacentral:rRNA from 1 species
CCAUACUCCUACUUUAUUCAUCAUUUUUUAAUUUUUCUCAAUUCUCUUAAUAUUUACUCAUCUACUCCUCUUUAAUUACUAAUUCCUUCGUUUCGUAAAGUUCUUUCUACAUUUAAUAAAAUUCCUAUAAUUAACUGUGUAUGUAUUUACGGUACCUGUAUAAGCAUCCCCGGCUAACUCCGUUCCAGCAUCCUCGGUAAUACGGAGGGGGCUAGCGUUGUUCGGAGUGACUGGGCGUAAAGAGCACGUAGGAGGUGUUGUAAGUCAUUAGUAAAAGACUAGAGAUAAAAUUUAGUAAGGAUAGUGAUAAUAUAAUAAUAGAGUAUAAGAGAGGAUUGAAGAAUUAAUGGUGUAGAGGUGAAAUGAGUAGAUAUAAGGAGGAAUAAAGUUAGAGAAGGAGGAAAUAUGGAUGGAAAAUGAAGAUGAGGUGAGAAAGAGUGGGUAGAAAAAAGGAUUAGAUAAAAGGGUAAA